rnacentral:lncRNA from 1 species
UCUUUUUUUUUUUUUUGGUUUUUUGAGACAGGGUUUCUCUGCAUAGCCCUGGCUGUCCUGGAACUCACUUUGUAGACCAGGCUGGCCUCGAACUCAGAAAUCCGCCUGCCUCUGCCUCCCUAGUGCUGGGAUUAAAGGCGUACGCCACCACUCCCGGCCAUUUUUUUUUAAUUAGGUAUUUUCUUCAUUUACAUUUCCAAUGCUACCCCAAAAGUUCCCCAAAGCCUCCCCCCUCCCACUUCUUGGCCCUGGCUUUCGGGAGGAGCCCUCUUGCUAGUUGUUUCCCAGGUGUUAGGUUGAAGAGUGAGGCCAACAUGUGGAUGGUGUGUGCCAGUUAAGGGGGUUCCGAGUUUAGACAUUUCUUCAGCUCACAGGUUGCUUUCACACUGCAGGGAAGGUAUCUGGCAAGUUCUUCCUUUUCAUGCUUUUAUGGUGAAACAGAAAGAACAAGAAAUUAUUAUCUAAAACUUCCAAGUAGACAGAUUUUUCUUUAUUUUUUUAAAAUAUUUUGAAUAUUUGUUUUAUUUUUAUUUUAUCUUUAUGUAUGUGUGUGUACCAUGUUUUAGCAGUGACCACAGAGUCAAACCCUGAUCCUCUGGAAGAGCAGCAGGUGCUCUUUACCGUUGAGCCAUCUCUCUAGCCCUCUUCUUUUAUUUUUAAUGUUGAAAAUGCCCAAAUUUAAACCAGCAGCAGUCAGGUUUUUAUAAAAUCUUAUAUCUCUCUUAUUUGAAAAAUUACAGACAGCAACGAGUAAUGUCCUGUCUGGAUGUCACGUAGAAGACUUAGAUGAAGGUAAGCACUAAAUAUUGUCAUAACUUCAGGCAGUUCUUAGUCCCGCCCUUGCUGCUUUUUUGAAGAAUUGCUGGGAAAUACAGUCCCUCUAAUUGGAAAUGUGGAGAAGGCUAUAAGCAUUUACAAGUAGGUGUGAGGAAGCAGAUCUUUCUCUGGGACCUUUUCCUAAGAUAGCUGAGGAAUGACAACUGCCCGGUAACUCCCCCUCCUCUGCCUCUGUUUCUGAGUGUUUAGAUCACAGGUGUGUACAGUGAGCCUGCUCCCCCGUGCCCAUUCCAUGGGUAGUGACUCUCAUAGAACACACACACUGGCUUCUCAGGCUUCGCCUUCAUCCUUAUAGUCGGGGUUAGAGGGAAUAUUUAUUAAAGCUCAGUAGUUCUCCUGUAGUGGCUGAAGCACAACUUUUAAGCUUAUCCUGGCAGAAUCUUUUCUGUCCCCUGAGGAGAGGUUGUAAGAAUAGAAAAUGGCUGCUUACCCUUUCUCCUCUAGGCCUUAUUUUCCUGGGCUUAUUUGGAACAUCAUCUAAAUCAUUCAGGUCAUUUGUACUCAGAAAUAUACGCACUUAGCUCCUAUAUAUGCAUAAUACAAUAAACAUAAUAUACGCACUUAGCUCCUAUAUAUGCAUAACUGCUUGCACUUCAUUUCUCUUAUGAAGUGUUCAGAGGUGAUGUGCCCCAAACAGAUCAUAAGAGCUUCUCAGUGUCGUGGGUAGAGUUUGUACACAAGACCUCCUGCCUGGAAGGUCAGUUUUCAUGUGGGAAGGAGUUCUUCAUAGAUGUGCAUCCGUGCUUGAGAACGACACGUGCCAGCUUCCCUCCUGAGUUCUCAGAGAAGAGACUGCCCUGGGAGGAAGCCCACCCCCUGCCAGAUGAGAUCAGGCCAGCAGCCUGACUUAGCUGCUGGCUAAUGGCCUCUGUCAACAGAGAAUUUAGCUGCUGGGUAGAGGCACCUUUGCCGUGCCUUUCUCAUACCAUCUGGGAUGAUGCAUGUAGAGAUGUGAUUCUUAGACAGAAGAUGUUGGAAUGACGUGGUAGCCUCACGUGAUGUGAUUAUGUCCACAUUCCUCCUCCGUAGGGUCCUGUAAUGGUUGGCAUUUCCGCCCACCGCCCAGGGGCAUCACCAGCAGUGAGGAGUACACCUUGUGUAAGAGGUAAGGUAGAAAUUGUUUUGAAACAAAUUACACAGCUCUUGUGAAGAGGAAGUUAAUUUUUCUCCACUUUUUGAAGGCAGUGAUUUAAAUUCAAAGAAGAUAAUAUGUG